UUCUUCUACGUCGUCGGCUGUUGUGGGGGAUUGAGUCACCGCUGGUUCGUCUAACUCGUGCCUUCUGUUUCUCUUCUGCUCCUCUAUUUCAGAUCGACGAGGCUGUAUUUCCUCAUUAUUGGUACGAGUAUAUGGGAACUUAAAGAUCAAGCAUUGACGCAAGAUUGUCGAGUAGGAGUAAAUUUUACGUUUGAGAACAUAUCAGAUCAACAAUGCUGGAACCUAAGAGAAUGAAAUGCUGCUACUGAACAAGGAACAAGAUGAUGAAUUUCAACCAGAGGCGUGCAGAACAGAGGAAGACGGAGCAGAGAUCAGAUGGCAGUGAAGAAAGAUGCACAAAUCAAUGAUGGAGUGAGGACCCCAGACUCACGACUUGGACCACCGCUCCUGCUAGCAUCGUCGGCGAUUUGAAUGGAAAGGGCUAGAGAAUGAGCACUCUCCCUCUAGCUU